CGGAAACGAGCGGGUCGUCACGAAUUAGAUAGUCGUGUGUACGCGUUGUUAUUAUUAUUUAUUUAUUUAUUAUUAUAAAUAUCGCGUGUACUUGUAUAUUAUAAUAUUUGUGUGUGUGUGUGUGUGUGUGUCUACACUCGCACGCACGCCAACUUCGUUAUCCGA